rnacentral:misc_RNA from 1 species
UGAAAUUACUAGUAGCUUAUGCUGCUAAUAACACUCUUGUGAACCAACAAAGCUGCAUCGUGUCUGGGAGGGUCACUUCUCGGCCAUGCUGCAGUUUUAACCACUUUUUGACUAUUGUCUAUUGCUUAAACACACGUUUGUAUAAAAACA